GACAGAGGAGGCAAGCGUUGUUCGGAAUCAUUGGGCUUAAAGCGCGUGUAGGCGGCUCUGAAAGUGUCUUGUGAAAUCCCACGGCUCACCCGUGGAACUGCAGGGCAAACUGCAGGGCUUGAGGUCGGUAGGGGCGUCCGGAACUCUGGGUGGAGCGGUGAAAUGCGUAGAUAUCCAGAGGAACGCCGGAGGCGAAAGCGGGACGCUGGGCCGAUACUGACGCUGAGACGCGAAAGCGUGGGGAGCAAACAGG
rnacentral:rRNA from 1 species